UACGGAGGGUGCGAUCGUUGUUCGGAAUCACUGGGCGUAAAGCGCGUGUAGGCGGUCUGCUAAGUCUGAUGUGAAAGCCCGGGGCUCACCCUCGGAAGUGCAUUGGAAACUGACAGACUGGAGUCCCGGAGAGGAGGGUGGAAUUCCUGGUGUAGCGGUGAAAUGCGUAGAUAUCAGGAGGAACACCGGUGGCGAAGGCGGCCCUCUGGACGGUGACUGACGCUGAGACGCGAAAGCGUGGGGAGAAAACAGG
rnacentral:rRNA from 1 species